rnacentral:rRNA from 1 species
UGGGGAAUUUUGCACAAUGGGGGAAACCCUGAUGCAGCGACGCCGCGUGAUUUAGAAGGCCUUCGGGUUGUAAAAAUCUUUUCUAUGGGAAGAAAAUGACAGUACCAUAGGAAUAAGGACCGGCUAAUUACGUGCCAGCAGCUGCGGUAAUACGUAAGUUCCGAGCGUUGUCCGGAAUCAUUGGGCGUAAAGGGUACGUAGGCGGGUAAGCAAGUUAGAAGUGAAAUCCUAUAGCUCAACUAUAGUAAGCUUUUAAAACUGCUCAUCUUGAGGUAUGGAAGGGAAAGUGGAAUUCCUAGUGUAGCGGUGAAAUGCGCAGAUAUUAGGAGGAAUACCGGUGGCGAAGGCGACUUUCUGGCCAUAACCUGACGCUGAGGUACGAAAGCGUGGGUAGCAAACAGG